rnacentral:misc_RNA from 1 species
AAGGAUCAUUAACAAAUCACAGUUGUGUGUGUGUGGGUGGGUGCGGUGUUUGCGCACGGCCUGCCUCAUACUCAUAAUAUAUACCCGAGUCCUAAUCCCUUGGGAUUGGGCUUUGGUUAGGUGGAAGGGGGAGGUGCUGCGUGCAUGCGCCUUCACAGGCGGUGUACUGUUGUCUCCUGUACCCUUUUGCCAAAUAGACGCGUUUGUACUAGUUUGACAGAGAAAUGUUGCUGUGUGUUAUAGCACGCAAAAAAUACAAUGACAACUUUUAACAAUGGAUCUCUUGGCUCCU